rnacentral:tRNA from 1 species
ACCGGCAUAGCGCAGAGGCAGCGCGCGGGGCUGAUAACCCCGAGGUCACUGGAUCAAAACCAGUUGCCGGUA